rnacentral:rRNA from 1 species
UUGGAAGAAGUUUGAUCCUGGCUCAGGACGAACGCUGGCGGCGUGCCUAAUACAUGCAAGUCGAGCGGACAGAUGGGAGCUUGCUCCCUGAUGUUAGCGGCGGACGGGUGAGUAACACGUGGGUAACCUGCCUGUAAGACUGGGAUAACUCCGGGAAACCGGGGCUAAUACCGGAUGGUUGUUUGAACCGCAUGGUUCAGACAUAAAAGGUGGCUUCGGCUACCACUUACAGAUGGACCCGCGGCGCAUUAGCUAGUUGGUGAGGUAACGGCUCACCAAGGCGACGAUGCGUAGCCGACCUGAGAGGGUGAUCGGCCACACUGGGACUGAGACACGGCCCAGACUCCUACGGGAGGCAGCAGUAGGGAAUCUUCCGCAAUGGACGAAAGUCUGACGGAGCAACGCCGCGUGAGUGAUGAAGGUUUUCGGAUCGUAAAGCUCUGUUGUUAGGGAAGAACAAGUGCCGUUCAAAUAGGGCGGCACCUCGACG